AUCCAGCCGGAUGUUUUGAGUCGCCAGUGUGUGAUGGGAACAUUUCCUCGUUUUGUUUGUUUGUUUGUUUGUUUUAAAUAAAAACUUCUCCAGCGGCGGCCAUUGAUCAGUGUUUUUAACCUCAGACUUAUGAGAAAGAGGUCGCUGUCCGGGCUCGUGUCGAUGCAGUGAGACCUUCACCUGCCACCUGGAAAUAAAGCCAAACGCAGGACAAGCAAGCAGGCUGACAAACCGAAGUUGCCCGUCACAGCCACAAGAGGGCGCUUCAGAUGGAGGCGACCUACAGGUCUGAGCUCCACCUGAUGGGGAGCAGAGCGACGACCCGGCUGAAGCGACUCGGAGUCACAGCUUGCGAAUCACCGGCAGAGGACUGCGAGUAGACACCGGAAAUGCACAGGAAACGUUUCGGUUUCCACAUUUGUUUGCCGAGUGUGUAUUUGUGUGUGUGAAAUGAAAUAUAAAAUGAAAUAUCUACACUGGACGUGGCAAACGAGAAUUAGCAGGCCUGCGAAUGAGCCACAACAUUACAACCGCUGUAAGUGGAUUUUGAAAAGUAUAGCAAACUGUCUGUAGACAAAUGAAAGCUUUAUUGGCUGUGAAUAAAAGCUGUCAAGCGAUGGAAAAUAAAACAGAAAAAGCAGUUGUGGAGGAGAACAACA